rnacentral:rRNA from 1 species
CCUACGGGGGGCAGCAGUGGGGAAUAUUGGACAAUGGGGGCAACCCUGAUCCAGCCAUGCCGCGUGUGUGAAGAAGGCCCUCGGGUUGUAAAGCACUUUCAGUGAGGAAGAACGCCUGGUGGUUAAUACCCAUCAGGAAAGACAUCACUCACAGAAGAAGCACCGGCUAACUCCGUGCCAGCAGCCGCGGUAAUACGGAGGGUGCGAGCGUUAAUCGGAAUUACUGGGCGUAAAGCGCGCGUAGGUGGCUUGAUAAGCCGGUUGUGAAAGCCCCGGGCUCAACCUGGGAACGGCAUCCGGAACUGUCAAGCUAGAGUGCAGGAGAGGAAGGUAGAAUUCCCGGUGUAGCGGUGAAAUGCGUAGAGAUCGGGCGGAAUACCAGUGGCGAAGGCGGCCUUCUGGACUGACACUGACACUGAGGUGCGAAAGCGUGGGUAGCAAACAGGAUUAGAUACCCCGGUAGUC